UACGAAGGGGGGCUAGCGUUGCUCGGAAUUACUGGGCGUAAAGGGCGCGUAGGCGGAUGUUUAAGUCGGGGGGUGAAAGCCCAGGGCUCAACCCUGGAAUUGCCUUCGAUACUGGACAUCUUGAGUACGGGAGAGGUGAGUGGAACUCCGAGUGUAGAGGUGAAAUUCGUAGAUAUUCGGAAGAACACCAGUGGCGAAGGCGACUCACUGGCCCGUUACUGACGCUGAGGUGCGAAAGCGUGGGGAGCAAACAGG
rnacentral:rRNA from 1 species